rnacentral:rRNA from 1 species
CAGUCGUACCGACGAGAAAUCAACUUAUCGUGUGCGAACUUGUGGGCGUGCGUGAGUUUCGGCCUCGCUGUUUGCAUGUUUGUGCGUUUUGGGUGUACUUUUUCGUAUGGUAGGCCAACGUCAGUUUCGAUUAUCAUAAAAUGACCGGCGGAAUGUAGCUUCGAUUUCGGUUGAAGUGUUAUAGCCUCUGGUAGAUGUGGUGAUUGAGACUGAGGAUUGCAACGAAUACCCUUUGGGCUAUCCGUCUGGCCUCUGAAAGUUGCUCAGGUGCCGAAAGCGUGCUUACGGUCAUCUAAGAUAACGUUCAACAGGUUAGAACGUGAUUACA